rnacentral:rRNA from 1 species
CACGUAGGAGGCGAGCGUUGUCCGGAAUCAUUGGGCGUAAAGAGCGCGCAGGCGGCUUGGCAAGUCGGGUGUGAAAUCCCGGGGCUCAACCCCGUGACUGCAUUCGAUACUGUCAGGCUAGAGGUAGGUAGGGGAGAUCGGAAUUCCUGGUGUAGCGGUGAAAUGCGCAGAUAUCAGGAGGAACACCGGUGGCGAAGGCGGAUCUCUGGGCCGUACCUGACGCUCAGGCGCGAAAGCUAGGGGAGCGAACAGG